UGUCUUAAGGGUGGGUUCCUGCAAUACUCUCUUCUCCAAUUGGGCGAAGCGUUUCAGCAUGUGGUUGUACACCUGUGAUGUACACACACAUUGAAGAGGUCACCUGCAAGGUUGUCUUGAAGGGAUUGACCACAAAAUGAUUGAAAGAAGACACCUACCUCGUAGGCCCUGGACCCUGUGAUGUCAGCCAGCCUCGCAGCGCCCCCUACUGCCUCCUGCAGACGUUCACACUGCAGCCCAGUGCUGGAGUCCAUCCACACCGGAGAGUUGUCUACAGAAAAACUGUCCUGGAAGACAUCACAUGACAUCUGAGCGUGCAGGUCAAACUAGUGAUGUCACCGACGCUUGACGGUGGCUUUUGGCGGAUUUCCCUCUCCCCAGCCACUUCGUCCAGCUCCUGCCGGGGGAUCCCAAAGCGUUCCCAGGCCAGCCGUUGUUUUACAGAUAAACUGUCAACUGAUUGCUAGUCUCGCGCAAGACCCGGUCCAUCCGUUCUCGUCUGCAGUUACGUAAGCUAACAUGGUGAAUAGCACAGGAAUCUUUUUGUGGACAGCCCUGGCUGUCGUGUUGUUUUAAACAAAAAAAAAAACAUUCCCCGAUUUUUAUUUUUGCAUGAUACCCGGUUUGUGUUUCUAUACUCCAUUAAUAUAAAGAUUCACAGCUGAUUCUUAUCAAUUCAUCACAGUCGAAUCACUCACUUGUCAAACCGGAUAUCCGUUCGCAUCGGUUUAUCGCUAAAAACCCUAACACACCUGUAGCUGUUGGUGAAGGCUGAAGGCAGGGUCCAGCUGCUCGAGGGUCCGAGACGCUCCAGUCUUCCAGUAGACGCUGCCGUGUUGCUAAGAGGAGACAGGACAUCACCCACCAGGCGCUUUGAUAAACAGCCAGCUACACGUAAAAGAAUGUGGGUCACCUGACCGCUGCCGGACAACGCCCGCACGCUGGAGAAGUCAAAGCCCGCCUUCUGCAUCUUGUCCAAGAGGAGGUCCAACGCCUGGACGUAAGUAAUCAACAUUAGGAAGCCACUUGGAACAUCAUAUCACUUGAUCAUCUUCAUGUUCCCCUACUGUACCUUGACCCACAUGAGAACAGGCGACGUGACCCUUAAGCCGUCAGCAGCAACAUGGACACCCCCGUCAGUCCUGAACAACCAAAAUAAAAGUCAGUCUUCUCCUGCAUGGACUUGUUGCCCACUCGCUAGUUAAAUGCCAAACUAUGUAAAGACAAACAAAUAUUUGAUCUAUAUAUACAAACUAGUGUUAACUUCUCAUAG